rnacentral:lncRNA from 1 species
CCCGGCCGUCUCCGAUCUUUACACGCAUUCUUCGUGUUAUCUGAAGACACUCUGACGCCACCACCCAAAGCAACUGGCAGUUGACUCUUGGCAAUUUUAAGCUUGUGUGGAAAGCAGCCGCCGCCCGGUAGCUCCUUUUUAUCUAGAGACACUCAGGAUGUGGGGGACACCCCAGCAAUGCCAUCCCUCCUUUGACCUCCAGAGCGCGCAGAAUUACAAAGUUGAGUAAUACUUUAUUUGAAAAAAUGAAAAGUGCACACACACACACACACACACACACUUACAUAGGCACAGUAUAAUCUGGAAGUAUGACCAGCAAAUGAUAACUGAUUCCCUCAGGGGAGAAGAAACUGGGUGGCUGAAGGACAGGAAUGAGAAAGAAGGACAGUUGCGUUUGUUUGUAUCGUUUGAAAUUGUCCAGUGUGUAUGUGUUCUUUUCAAAUGUUUGAAGAACCAUUGGCUCCCUUAUCAAAAUGUAAAUACCAAGGAAAAUCAGGAAUUUAAGAAGUCUAAGAAUUCUGUAAUGCUGGGUAGAAUUUUCUGUACGUGUAAAACUAAAAUGUCUUUUGUAAAUCACUGAGUCUUCCUGUUUAUUUCUGGUUAGAGAUCUUUGGGGGCUUGGAUGGAGGAACAGGAAAAGAGGAGCCAGGCUUUUUUGGAAAAUUGGCGGCAGCGGUGGCAUACGGGAAACUGAAAUCUUUAUCUAAUCUCAUCCUUUGUAUAUUCGUCUUGGAUUUGCUGAAGAAAAUUAAAAGGUAAAUUUUGCUGUGAGCUCACUGAACUCAAAUUGAAAGGGAACAUAUGCUGUUUAUUUUUGUGAAGGACAUUAAUUGGGUGUGACUGGCAGGGUUGAGACCUGAAGUUCCUCUUUUAGAUAAGGAAAAUUUCCCUUGGUGAGAAAUCUCUAGACUAGUUAUGAUAGAUUCCUAACCCCCAACCUUGAAAGGUAACUUAAGGCUCCCUCCUCUAAGGGAAGGGCUGAAGAAAAAAUUAAACAGGCAACUGUGCCUAUGAAGAUUUGCGAAAAAAAAAAAAAAAAAAAAACAUCUAGGACACUUCUCAUUCACUGGGUCAAGCCAGAGCCAUCAACUUUGUGACCUAGUGAGUGGUUAGUGGAUAUAGGCAAGCGUAGUAACUUGGGACCAGAGGUUAGGGAUCCAGAAAGUUGAAAAUGUAAAGACAAAGGCCAGAGGUUAUAACUUACUGCCUCUUGGUAAGUAGGAAGCCAGAAGUUGAGCUCCCAAAUAAAAUGUUUUAGGAACUGUGGUUCUUAAGUAACUCCAAAAGUAAUGAAACAAUGAGACUGAGGAGUGCCUGGGAUUAGAAAUUCCCAAACGGAGAAAAAAACACAUCACAGAAGAGCCAU